GCUUUAUAANUUUAGGGAGAUCUUAUAAAUAUUUAAGUAACAAUAAUUUUUUAAAUGUUUAUUCGGUUGGGGCGACAAGAGUAUAACGAAAAUAACUGCUUUAAAUUAAGACAGAAAUAUCUGAAUCAUAGUUAAUUGAUCCUUUUUAAAGAUUCUAAGAUCAAGUUA
rnacentral:rRNA from 1 species